GAUAUUCGUAUACCCAAAAACCCUGUUCUCCAUCUUUUUACGCGAACGAAACCUUUUCUUCUUCCCUCAAUUUCUUCUCUCCCACACCCAACCCAAAACCUAUCAAUCAAUCAAAUUUUUUUUCAAGUCUUCCAAACCCAGAACCCUCUUCUUCUCACUCAAUCGAUUUAAACCAGAAACCCUUCAUCAUUAUUCACUCACCCAGUCUCCAUCUUUCUCCUCAAUCGAUCGAACGCAAAAACCCUUACUCUUCUCUUCCAUAGUCACUCAAUCUCACUCAU
rnacentral:lncRNA from 1 species